GCUGUAGCUCAGUGGGAGAGCAUCUGCCUUGCUACCCAGAAGGUCCCAGGUUCAAUCCCUGACAUCUCCU